rnacentral:rRNA from 1 species
AACGAACGCUGGCGGCAGGCUUAACACAUGCAAGUCGAACGGUUGUAGCAAUACAGCAGUGGCAGACGGGUGAGUAACACGUGGGAACCUUCCUAGGGGUACGGAACAACUCAGGGAAACUUGAGCUAAUACCGUAUACGUCCGUGAGGAGAAAGUUUUAACGCCCCUAGACGGGCCCGCGUAGGAUUAGGUAGUUGGUGAGGUAACGGCUCACCAAGCCUACGAUCCUUAGCUGAUCUGAGAGGANGAUCAGCCACACUGGGACUGAGACACGGCCCAGACUCCUACGGGAGGCAGCAGUGGGGAAGUCUUGGACAAUGGGCGGCAAGCCUGAUCCAGCCAUGCCGCGUGAGUGAAGAAGGCC